GAAUUCUGACUUUAAUCUCAGAAUUCUGACUUUUUUCUCAGAAUUCUGACUUUAAUCUCAGAAUUUUGAGGUGGGCACCUGCAGGCAUCCAUCUUCAGUGACAGGGAUGUGUCCAGGUGUGCAGGUGGAGACCUAAUUCACCAAACAUGGUGGAUAUAAGUGAUUUUUUGCGUGGCCGAGGGGUCCCCGAAGAUGCUGUUUUAUUAAUGGAAGAGCAGAAGAUUGACUGUGAUGUCAUAGCACUGAUGGAUGACGCAACUUUGGCAAACUACAUUCCCUCGUACGGAGACCGAAUUGCCCUCUUCAAUUUCUGCAAAAGCAAGCAACCACUGUCAAAAAGAAAACUAGGACUUCUGCAAAAACUUCACCUCUCGAAGUGAGAGAAACAGUCGCUGACAUGUCAGAUUUGGAUGACUUUAUAAGACUGUAUUUCAGACUUUCCUUCAGUAACAAAGAAAUACUUUCAAUUUUAGCACAUAGUCAUCAGACAAUUAUAAGUGUUCGAACUCUAAAGAGAAUUUGUAAAAGACUUGGGCUCUUUAGAAGGAAGAAUCAAUCAAACUUGGAGGAAGUGCUAGCCUUUGUCCAACAAGAGAUCAUGACAAAUGGACAGAUGCAAGGUUAUCGUUGGCUACAUCUUCGUGCAAUUCAACAUGGAUUUGUGGUGUCACAAGAUACUGUAAGAUGCAUAAUCAAAUUGGUAGACCCUCAAGGUGUGGAACUGAGACGAGCUCGACGGUUGAGAAGACGUCAGUGCAGCUGCAGAGGGCCAAAUGCUCUCUGGCACAUGGAUGGCUAUGACAAGUUGAAACCAUAUGGUAUUGCUAUCAGUGGCUGCAUAGAUGGUUUUAGCCGCUAUGUUGUAUGGAUGGAGGCUUAUACCACAAACAAUGACCCUAAAUUGAUUGCAAGUUAUUUUCUGAAAACAGUUUCAUGCAUCAAUGGAUGUCCAGAGAGGUUACGUGCUGACCGAGGUACAGAAAAUGGUUGUGUCGAACAAAUGCAGAUGUUUUUACGGAGAAACCACACAGACAGUUUUGCAGGAUGAACUUGAUGAAGUUGUGAACACAUGGAACUCGCACAAAAUCCGGCCAAGUGGUAGUGCAGCAUCGGGUCGACCAGUAGUAAUGUACUCAUUUCCAGAGCUGCACAGUGCUGAGGACAGACUGAAACCUAUUUCUAUGGAGGAUAUCACUUUGUGUAUGGAAGAGUGUAGCCCAAAA